GCCCGAGUGGCGGAAUGGCAGACGCGCACGACUCAAAAUCGUGUGCCGCAAGGCAUGUGGGUUCGACUCCCACCUCGGGCA
rnacentral:tRNA from 1 species